UUAAAUUGAAGAGUUUGAUCAUGGCUCAGAUUGAACGCUGGCGGCAGGCCUAACACAUGCAAGUCGAACGGUAACAGGAAGUAGCUUGCUGCUUCGCUGACGAGUGGCGGACGGGUGAGUAAUGUCUGGGAAACUGCC
rnacentral:rRNA from 2 species